CGGACCGUAGCGCAGCCUGGUUAGCGCGCCACACUGGGGGUGUGGAGGUCGGGAGUUCAAAUCUCCCCGGUCCGACCA
rnacentral:tRNA from 1 species